rnacentral:rRNA from 1 species
UACAGAGGUCUCAAGCGUUGUUCGGAUUCAUUGGGCGUAAAGGGUGCGUAGGUGGCGCCGUAAGUCAGGUGUGAAAUCGCGGGGCUCAACCCCGAAACUGCACUUGAUACUGCGGUGCUCGAGUACUGGAGAGGAGAUUGGAAUUUACGGUGUAGCGGUGAAAUGCGUAGAUAUCGUAAGGAAGACCAGUGGCGAAGGCGGGUCUCUGGACAGUUCCUGACGCUGAGGCACGAAGGUCAGGGGAGCAAACGGG